ACUCAGGUGUAGUUCAGUCGGUAGAACAUGAGACUCCUGAUCUCACGGAUGUGGGUUCGAGCCCCACGUUGGGCA